rnacentral:rRNA from 1 species
CCUACGGGAGGCAGCAGUGAGGAAUAUUGGACAAUGGGCGCAAGCCUGAUCCAGCCAUGCCGCGUGCAGGAAGAAGGUCCUAUGGAUUGUAAACUGCUUUUAUACAGGAAGAAACACUCCCUCGUGAGGGAACUUGACGGUACUGUAUGAAUAAGGACCGGCUAACUCCGUGCCAGCAGCCGCGGUAAUACGGAGGGUCCAAGCGUUAUCCGGAAUCAUUGGGUUUAAAGGGUCCGUAGGCGGCCAAAUAAGUCAGUGGUGAAAGCCCAUCGCUCAACGAUGGAACGGCCAUUGAUACUGUUUGGCUUGAAUUAUUAGGAAGUAACUAGAAUAUGUAGUGUAGCGGUGAAAUGCUUAGAGAUUACAUGGAAUACCAAUUGCGAAGGCAGGUUACUACUAAUAUAUUGACGCUGAUGGACGAAAGCGUGGGGAGCGAACAGGAUUAGAUACCCUGGUAGUCCACGCCGUAAACGAUGGAUACUAGCUGUUCGGAGCAAUCUGAGUGGCUAAGCGAAAGUGAUAAGUAUCCACCUGGGGAGUACGUUCGCAAGAAUUGAAACUUAAAGGAAUUGACGG